rnacentral:rRNA from 1 species
GAUUAGCUACGUUCGGACUGGAUAACCGCUGAAAGCAUCUAAGCGGGAAGCCGUUCUCGAGAUGAGAUUUCCAUACCAUUUAUGGUGAGAGACUCCCAGCUAGACUACUGGGUUGAUAGGCAGGAUGUGGAAGUAGGGACUAAAGACCUACGGAGCUGACCUGUACUAAUAAGUCGAUAACUUGAUAAC